UACGAAGGGGGCUAGCGUUGCUCGGAAUCACUGGGCGUAAAGCGCACGUAGGCGGAUCUUUAAGUCAGGGGUGAAAUCCUGGAGCUCAACUCCAGAACUGCCUUUGAUACUGGGGAUCUCGAGUCCGGGAGAGGUGAGUGGAACUCCGAGUGUAGAGGUGAAAUUCGUAGAUAUCAAGCAGAACACCUGCGGCGAAGGCGGCCUUCUGGACGAUGACUGACGCUGAGACGCGAAAGCGUGGGGAGCAAACAGG
rnacentral:rRNA from 1 species